rnacentral:rRNA from 1 species
AGUGAGCGCUGGCGGUAGGCCUAACACAUGCAAGUCGAACGGCAGCACAGUAAGAGCUUGCUCUUACGGGUGGCGAGUGGCGGACGGGUGAGGAAUACAUCGGAAUCUACUUUUUCGUGGGGGAUAACGUAGGGAAACUUACGCUAAUACCGCAUACGACCUACGGGUGAAAGCAGGGGAUCUUCGGACCUUGCGCGAUUGAAUGAGCCGAUGUCGGAUUAGCUAGUUGGCGGGGUAAAGGCCCACCAAGGCGACGAUCCGUAGCUGGUCUGAGAGGAUGAGAAGGCACACGGGAACUGAGAAACGGUCCAGACUCCUACAGGAGGCAGCAGUGGGGAAUAUUGGACAAUGGGCGCAAGCCUGAUCCAGCCAUACCGCGUGGGUGAAGAAGGCCUUCGGGUUGUAAAGCCCUUUUGUUGGGAAAGAAAAGCAGAAGGUUAAUAACCCGCUGUUCUGACGGUACCCAAAGAAUAAGCAACGGCUAACUUCGUG